rnacentral:misc_RNA from 1 species
UCCGGUUUGUCACCGGCAGUCUUGCUAGAGUGCCCAACUUAAUGAUGGCAACUAACCACGGGGGUUGCGCUCGUUGCGGGACUUAACCCAACAUCUCACGACACGAGCUGACGACAGCCAUGCACCACCUGUCUCACGGCUCCCUUGCGGGCACCCUCCUGUUUCCAAGAGGUUCCGUGGAUGUCAAGCCCUGGUAAGGUUCUUCGCGUUGCGUCGAAUUAAACCACAUCCUCCACCGCUUGUGCGGGCCCCCGUCAAUUCCUUUGAGUUUCAGCCUUGCGGCCGUACUCCCCAGGCGGGAUACUUAACGCGUUAGCUACGGCACUGAGGGGGUCGAUACCCCCAGCACCUAGUAUCCAUCGUUUACGGCAUGGACUAC